UACGUAGGGUGCGAGCGUUGCCCGGAUUUAUUGGGCGUAAAGGGCGCGUAGGCGGCCACGCACGUCCGUUGUGAAAUCGCCCGGCUCAACUGGGCGGGGUCGGCGGAUACGGCGUGGCUGGAGCAAGCUAGGGGGCAAUGGAAUUCCCGGUGUAGUGGUGGAAUGCGCAGAUAUCGGGAGGAACACCUGUGGCGAAGGCGGCCACCUGGACGACAACUGACGCUGAGACGCGAAAGCUAGGGUAGCAAACGGG
rnacentral:rRNA from 1 species